UGCUGUCUGUGUGUGUGCCUUUUAAUCUCCGACGACGAACCUUGGCCUUUCAAAAAAUCAUUCCAUUCCUUGUUCCAGUCCUUCUCAUUCUUACGUGGAGACCUGCUUUUCCAGGUUCUCAGAAAAUGUCCAUUCACUCCCCUCUUCUGAUCAAACAGGUAUUUCCUGCAAGUCUCCUCUAACCCAGGCCUGGCAGAGGCCCAGAGAGGCAGAGGCAGGCCUUAUCAGAAGGAUCCUCUGGAGAAUGGAGGUGCCUCUCAGACCCGGGAGAGGCCAGCUCCUUUUCUAUGGCAAAGACCAAGAUUCAUUCUCAUCAAUUUUAUUUUCUUCAUUUUCUCUCGGUGUGCCAACCUUUUUAGAAUAAAACUCAUUUUAAUUUCACAAGACAAUUCAAGAAGGAAGCAACAAAAUUGGCUUAAUUUAACUUUACAAACUUGAAUAGAAACAUGCUUUUAGCAUCCAAGUAUCCCUUUUUACUUUGACUCCUGGGAAGCUCAGAUGUAGAUCAGUGCCCAGUGAGUAAUCCGAUGUCUCACACUCACAUUGAACUCUCCCUUCCGUCUGGUUUCUCGGCCCCAUUCUACUUGCGCCUGCUCUUCUGAAGCACUCACUGCAGGGAAGCCAUCGCACAGCCUUUUGUGAAGUGAGGCACAAAUGACAAACAAUUCUGUGAAAGAUGCAAAUGUGCGGUGACAGAAAUCAGCUGGCACAACAGCCAACAGGUGGGAGUGACCGCAGUGACCAUCAAUGGAUGAAUGGACACACAAAACAAGAUAAAUGCACUCAGCCUUGGGAAGGCAGGGAAUUGCCACCUGCCACAACACGGUGAACCUCGAGGUCAGCAUGGCCAGAGACACAUGCUGUCCCAGGACGGAUCCCGAGUGACCGCAGGCGUGUAGUGUCUUCUUCUGUCCCGCGGCGUGCUAAUGGGGAGGUCAAGUGUCCACUCUUCCUUGUCACGUGAUAUUCCACCGUAUGUCACAGCUGCUGUGGCCUCCUUGCCCAUGACCGUUGUUGGACACACACAUCCUUUCCUGCUGGGUCUUCCAGUGCUAUAUGGAACAGGAGCGGUGAGAGGGAAAACAGCAAGAAACUGUAAACAGUUCCAUUCACUCAAGAGUGGGUCACCCCCCAACACACACACACACACACACACACACACACACACACACACACACUACGGCUAGUUACCUUGAGUCUCCAAUGUUCCACCAACCUUCGUUUCUGAAUAAACUCCACUUGGACAUGAGCUAUCA